UACGGGGGGAGCAAGCGUUGUUCGGAUUUACUGGGCGUAAAGGGCGCGUAGGCGGCCUUCUAAGUCGAACGUGAAAUCCCCGGGCUCAACCCGGGAACUGCGUCCGAUACUGGAAGGCUUGAAUCCGGGAGAGGGAUGUGGAAUUCCAGGUGUAGCGGUGAAAUGCGUAGAUAUCCGGAGGAACACCGGUGGCGAAGGCGGCUUCCUGGACCGACACUGACGCUGAGGCGCGAAAGCUAGGGGAGCAAACGGG
rnacentral:rRNA from 1 species